UUAGUGUGCAAACGGGUCUCAGAUAACGGACAUAGCGUUGGAUGCUUCGAUUCCAGGGCAGGUGUGUGCAAAGCAUCUUGGGACUCCUCUGACUUUCCUUCCCGCCCGAAUCCACAGCUUCUCUGCGUUGCAACUCACCAGCCGAGGGAAAUCAAACUGAAGGCAUUUCCCGGGCAUUUACGACACAGCCCUUGCAAGAGUGGAAUGACCCAGGUCGGUCCCCACAGGAACAGACUCUGUGCUGCUCAUUCCGCCGCGGCCGGUUCAGAGCCCGCUGAGCCCGCGGGUCUCUCUCUGGUGUCGUGAGGAAAGCCGGUCAUCUUCCCCAGUCAUCUCUGGGUGACAGUCCCAUCAAAGCCCCAUGAUGUGUCCUCCUGGAAGUGUCCCCAGACACCAGAGGCUCCUCACACCGCCAAAGGCAGGCUAACGCCCACUGCGAUCACACCACCGGCUCCAGUCCCGCCCCGGCUUCGCCUGCACUGGCACUCACAGCCGCACGCCGGUCCUCCGCGGACACCCACAGGACACAGCCUGCGCCCGGGACUGCGCCACCUGUUUUACCUCCGGGGCCCCUUCUACUGCUCAGAGCCACACGAACCCGGUUCGCGUGGACCGCGGGAAGGGAGACCAGCUCUGCCGCCCCGGCCACCUCGUGGCCUCCACAGCGACGCUGACCCUUGCAUCUUCUCUCGUGCUUUCCCC